CCUGUCUGUUCAGAUUCUUUUUGGCCUCUCUGUGUGGCAAUCCUUCCUCCCAGCUAUAGAGCAGAGACCUUCUGGAAUGAAGAUCUUAUGAUCUACUUUCAGACAUGGCAGCUCAGAGAAUUUCUUUACAGCCAGCUCUUGCCCAGAAAGGGCAUCCCAGCUAAGAACUCAUGAAGGGUAGAGAGAAAACUGUUUUUCCUCUCUUUCAUUUUGGGGGGCUGUUCCCAGAGAUCAAAGAUGAGCCCUGCAAACUGUCUACCCUACUCCAGAGGCUGACCUAAGACUGGAAGCCCCCCUCUUCCCUGGACACCUGUAGGAUGCAUUCCAUGGUUCAGCUGGCUAGUCUCUGAGGGUGACCACUGUUGUUGCCCAGGCUGGAGUGCAAUGGCGCGAUCUUGGCUCACCACAACCUCUGCCUCCUGGAUUCAAGCGAUUCUGCUGCCUCAGCCUCCCAAGUAGCUGGGAUUACAGGUGCCCACUACCACACCUGGCUAAUUUUUUUGUAUUUUUAAUAGAAACAGGGUUUCACCAUGUUGGUCAGGCUGGUCUCGAACUCCUGAACUCAUGUGAUCUGCCCCCCCCUCACCCGCCCCUUGGCCUCCCAAAGUGCUAGGAUUACAGGCGUGGGCCAUGACCUGCUUUUUAUUAUCAAUCUAUAAUUAUAUGUAUUGUUCCUAUAUCAUUAAAUAUUCUCCUUUGAC
rnacentral:lncRNA from 1 species